AGUGAACGCUGGCGGUAGGCCUAACACAUGCAAGUCGAACGGCAGCACAGUAAGAGCUUGCUCUUACGGGUGGCGAGUGGCGGACGGGUGAGGAAUACAUCGGAAUCUACUUUUUCGUGGGGGAUAACGUAGGGAAACUUACGCUAAUACCGCAUACGACCUACGGGUGAAAGCAGGGGAUCUUCGGACCUUGCGCGAUUCAAUGAGCCGAUGUCGGAUUAGCUAGUUGGCGGGGUAAAGGCUCACCAAGGCGACGAUCCGUAGCUGGUCUGAGAGGAUGAUCAGCCACACUGGAACUGAGACACGGUCCAGACUCCUACGGGAGGCAGCAGUGGGGAAUAUUGGACAAUGGGCGCAAGCCUGAUCCAGCCAUACCGCGUGGGUGAAGAAGGCCUUCGGGUUGUAAAGCCCUUUUGUUGGGAAAGAAAAGCAGCAGGUGAAUACCCCGCUGUUCUGACGGUACCCAAAGAAUAAGCACCGGCUAACUUCGUG
rnacentral:rRNA from 1 species